UAGAGACGUAUAAAGGAAUUAAUCUUCGUUGCGUUUAGGGUUUAAGAGCUCUGCGAGUUUGAGUUGCUCCAUAAUUCCAAACUUCAAAUCCUUCACCCGUAGUUUCCUCCGUUUCGCUAGAAUUUUCUGAGCACCACCACCCAUUGUUGAUUCUUUUCAGGGUUGUAAUCGCUCUACGAUAAUGUCUCGACUUUACGUUGGGAAUUUGGAUCCGCGAGUUUCAGAAAGAGAGCUCGAAGAUGAAUUUCGAGCGUACGGUGUUCUUCGGAGUGUCUGGGUAGCUCGGAAGCCACCAGGUUAUGCAUUUGUUGAGUUCGAUGAUCGUAGAGAUGCUCUAGAUGCAAUCCGUGCAUUAGAUGGAAAGAAUGGAUGGCGUGUGGAACUUUCCCAUAAUUCUAAGGGUAGUGGUGGAGGUCGUGGUGGUGGACGUGGACGUGGCGGUGGUGAGGACCUGAAGUGCUAUGAGUGUGGUGAACCUGGUCAUUUUGCUCGGGAAUGUCGCUUGCGGAUUGGUUCACGUGGCAUGGGAAGUGGACGGCGUCGAAGCCCCAGUCCUCGACAUCGUAGGAGCCCGAGUUAUGGUCGUCGGAGUUACAGCCCUCGUGGUAGAAAAUCUCCUCGACGUCACAGUAUAUCACCUCGCCGUGGCCGCAGCUACAGCAGGUCACCACCACCGUAUCGCCAUGCUCAUCGUGAUUCACCUUAUGCUAAUGGAGACCAACGCCGGAGCAGGAGCUGAUGGCCUGAUGCAGACUCGUGUGUAUCUGAUGAGAUUAUGCUCUAUCUUAGUAGUCCUGAUAGGAUGGUUCGACAAAAAGAGAAUCUUGUUAUUUCUGUUCACUGAAAGACAAUUGGAUUUGUUAGGACUUGGCUUUGAUUAACUUGAGCUUCUACAUGUCAAAGGGAGUGGUUUGGACUCGGCUUUUGCAUGGACAUACUCUUCAGCUUACUGAAAUUUGGGGAGGUUAAUCUGCAUCUUUCUGCAUGUCCGCAUCACACCUCUACCUGUUGCUCCUUUUGCUUUUCCAGCUUGAAUCACCUGUAGAAACUGCAAACGCUCAGAAGCUUGGUUGUGACUUUUUAGAUGUGCAUCAUUCUACAACAUAACCUAAUUGAGGUUCUGCUAAAAGGGCAUCAUUUGUCACUUAAAAGUUGUCCUCACUGCACGUGGCACACCAUCCGUGUCUCUCCGUGUGCUUACCAAGCUUGGAUCACAUGUAGAAACUGGAAAUGCUCAGAAGAUGUUCUCACGUGACAUUUUUUUUGCAUUCUUCUGCAGCUAGACCUUUUUUUUCCGUCUUUGAACUAAAUUUAUGCUAAUGAAUCACAGUGAAGUUGUUUAUUGGCCCCUUAGGUGCCAUUUUUUCCCUCGGUGGGUCUGAAAAUUUUACUGUGACUAUAACUGAAUGUAAUGGUAUUUGAAGAAACAAGGUAAUGGUGGAGAAAGAAAUUAAUUGUAUUUUUUGAGUCA